rnacentral:rRNA from 1 species
GAUGAACGCUGGCGGCGUGCCUAAUACAUGCAAGUCGAGCGAACAGAUGAGGAGCUUGCUCCUCUGACGUUAGCGGCGGACGGGUGAGUAACACGUGGAUAACCUACCUAUAAGACUGGGAUAACUACGGGAAACCGGAGCUAAUACCGGAUAAUAUAUUGAACCGCAUGGUUCAAUAGUGAAAGACGGUUUUGCUGUCACUUAUAGCUGGAUCCGCGCCGCAUUAGCUAGUUGGUAAGGUAACGGCUUACCAAGGCAACGAUGCGUAGCCGACCUGAGAGGGUGAUCGGCCACACUGGAACUGAGACACGGUCCAGACUCCUACGGGAGGCAGCAGUAGGGAAUCUUCCGCAAUGGGCGAAAGCCUGACGGAGCAACGCCGCGUGAGUGAUGAAGGUCUUCGGAUCGUAAAACUCUGUUAUUAGGGAAGAACAAAUGUGUAAGUAACUAUGCACGUCUUGACGGUACCUAAUCAGAAAGCCACGGCUAACUACGU